GCCUCCAGGUUAGCUCAGUUGGUUAGAGCUAUGUGCUUGUGUUCCGGUGGUCGUGGGUUCAAGCCCCACACCAGGCA